GUCCGGGUGGUGAAAUUGGCAAACACGCUGGCUUCAGGAGCCAGUGCCGCAAGGCUUGGGAGUUCAACUCUCCCCCCGGACACCU
rnacentral:tRNA from 2 species